UUGCUAAAAUAUAAGCCGUAUGCGCAAUACCUACUUGUUAAGUGUCUAAGGAUCAGCGUCACGCCGAAAUCGAUCACUUUCGUCCUUUUCCUCGACCUCCAGACAUUCGACCUUCCCGCCUUCUGAACUUAAUCAUACUAUUGUUUGCACAUGUAAUAAACGUCAAUUUGUGCAUGCACAAUGAAA